rnacentral:tRNA from 1 species
GCCGAGGUGGUGGAAUAGGUAGACACGCUGUCUUGAGGGGGCAGUGGGCGUUAGCCCGUACGAGUUCAAAUCUCGUCCUCGGCACCA